rnacentral:rRNA from 1 species
UACGGGGGGGGCAAGCGUUGUUCGGAAUUACUGGGCGUAAAGGGCGCGUAGGCGGUUUGCUAAGUUGGAUGUGAAAACUCUGGGUUUAACCCAGAGCCUGCAUCCAAAACUGGCAAACUUGAGUACUGGAGGGGAAAGCGGAAUUCCUGGUGUAGCGGUGAAAUGCGUAGAUAUCGGGAGGAACACCAGUGGCGAAGGCGACUACCUGGCCUGUUCUUGACGCUGAGGCGCGAAAGCUAGGGGAGCAAACGGG